GACGAACGCUGGCGGCGUGGAUUAGGCAUGCAAGUCGAACGGUAUCAUCCUUUCGGGGGUGAGAGAGUGGCGAACUGGUGAGUAACACGUAGGUUAUCUACCCUCAAGACGGGGAUAACCCAGGGAAACUUGGGCUAAUACCGGAUGUGAGCAACUUUUAGUUGUUUGAAAGGUGGCGUAAGCUGUCGCUUGGGGAUGAGCCUGCGUCCUAUUAGUUAGUUGGUGAGGUAACGGCUCACCUAGGCAAUGAUAGGUAGGCGGCCUUAACGGGUGGUCGCCCACACUGGGAUUGAGAUACGGCCCAGACUCCUACGGGAGGCAGCAGUCGAGAAUAGUCUACAAUGGUCGGAAGACUGAUAGUGCGACGCCGCGUGAACGAUGAAUCCCUUCGGGGUGUAAAGUUCUUUUAUAUGUGAGCAGUGCUUCUUAUAUUAACAGUAUGGGGAGAGAGAUAUUAGCAUAUGAAUAAGCAACGGCUAACUCCGUGCCAGCAGCCGCGGU
rnacentral:rRNA from 1 species